rnacentral:tRNA from 1 species
CGCCGACGGGUCAAGGACCGGCCGCCCGGCGUGUCUGGCAGGCUGCGCCGCUCCCGGCCACCGGGCGGCGCCGCAGCCGGCCGCGCA